rnacentral:rRNA from 1 species
ACGGGUGAGUAACACGUGGGUGAUCUGCCUCGCACUCUGGGAUAAGCCUGGGAAACUGGGUCUAAUACCGGAUAUGACCUCUUGUCGCAUGGCUUGGGGUGGAAAGAUUUAUCGGUGCGAGAUGGGCCCGCGGCCUAUCAGCUUGUUGGUGGGGUAAUGGCCUACCAAGGCGACGACGGGUAGCCGGCCUGAGAGGGCGACCGGCCACACUGGGACUGAGACACGGCCCAGACUCCUACGGGAGGCAGCAGUGGGGAAUAUUGCACAAUGGGCGAAAGCCUGAUGCAGCGACGCCGCGUGAGGGAUGACGGCCUUCGGGUUGUAAACCUCUUUCGACAGGGACGAAGCGCAAGUGACGGUACCUGUAGAAGAAGCACCGGCCAACUACGUGCCAGCAGCCGCGGUAAUACGUAGGGUGCGAGCGUUGUCCGGAAUUACUGGGCGUAAAGAGCUUGUAGGCGGUUUGUCGCGUCGUC